rnacentral:rRNA from 1 species
CCCUUAGAUGUUCUGGGCUGCACGCGUGUUACAAUCGGGAGUACAACAAGAUUGCAAAUCCUAGUGGAUGAGUGGUUCUUCGAAAUUUUCUGAAGACUGGGAUAGUUGAUUGAAAUUAUUCAACUCGAACGAGGAAUUCCUUGUAAUUGUAAUUCAUUAUAUUGUAAUGAAUACGUCCCUGCCCUUUGUACACACCGCCCGUCGCUCCUACCGAUUGGACGAUCCGGUGAAUUAUUUGGAGUAGCUCUGGAAGUUGCAGAACUUCCUAUGUCACGAAAUUUUGUAAACCUUAUCGUUUAGAGGAAGGAAAAGUCGUAACA